rnacentral:rRNA from 1 species
UACAGAGGGUGCGAGCGUUGUUCGGAAUUAUUGGGCGUAAAGGGCGCGUAGGCGGCGCCACAAGUCACUUGUGAAAACUCUGGGCUCAACUCAGAGCCUGCAAGCGAAACUGUGGUGCUGGAGUAUGGGAGAGGUGCGUGGAAUUCCCGGUGUAGCGGUGAAAUGCGUAGAUAUCGAGAGGAACACCUGCGGCGAAGGCGGGUUGCUGGGCUGACACUGACGCUGAUGUGCGAAAGCUAGGGGAGCGAACGGG